rnacentral:sRNA from 1 species
UUUAACUACUCUUUUUGAUUUAUUAGAGAUGCUUGCAUCAUUUAAACCACCCUCAGGAAAAGUGGCAGUGGAUGAUAGUGAGAGCUUACGAUGUGAAGAACUUCAUCUUCAUGCAGAAAAUCUGUCUAGGCGGGUCUGGGAGCUACUGAUGCUUCUUCCUACAUGUCCUAAUAUGUUGAUGGCAUUCCAGAAUAUCUCAGAUGAGCAGGCAGCCAAUCCUUUCUUUAAGUUGUUGACUAUGCUAAUGGAGUUUGCUGGUGGACCUCCAGGAAUGCCUCCCUUUGCAUCUUACAUUCUGCAGAGGAUAUGGGAGGUGAUUGAAUACAAUCCUUCUCAGUGUCUAGAUUGGUUGGCAGUGCAGACACCCCGAAAUAAACUGGCACACAGCUGGGUCUUACAGAAUAUGGAAAACUGGGUCGAGCGGUUUCUUUUGGCUCACAAUUAUCCUAGAGUGAGGACUUCUGCAGCUUAUCUUCUGGUGUCCCUUAUACCAAGCAAUUCAUUCCGUCAGAUGUUCCGGUCAACAAGGUCUUUGCACAUCCCAACCCGUGACCUU